UACGUAGGGCGCAAGCGUUGUCCGGAAUUAUUGGGCGUAAAGAGCUCGUAGGCGGUUUGUCGCGUCUGUCGUGAAAGCUUGGGGCUUAACCCCAAGUCUGCGGUGGAUACGGGCAGACUAGAGGCAGGUAGGGGAGAACGGAAUUCCCGGUGUAGCGGUGAAAUGCGCAGAUAUCGGGAGGAACACCGGUGGCGAAGGCGCUGCUCUGGGCCGAUACUGACGCUGAGGAGCGAAAGCGUGGGUAGCAAACAGG
rnacentral:rRNA from 1 species